rnacentral:misc_RNA from 1 species
UACGAAGGGGGCUAGCGUUGUUCGGAAUUACUGGGCGUAAAGCGCACGUAGGCGGACUAUUAAGUCAGGGGUGAAAUCCCAGAGCUCAACUCUGGAACUGCCUUUGAUACUGGGUACCUAGAGUCCGGAAGAGGUGAGUGGAAUUGCGAGUGUAGAGGUGAAAUUCGUAGACAUUCGCAGGAACACCAGUGGCGAAGGCGGCUCACUGGUCCGGUACUGACGCUGAGGCGCGACAGCGUGGGGAGCAAACAGG